rnacentral:rRNA from 1 species
AUGGGCUUUGUGUAUGGAGAGAUUGUGAAGUCAAAGAAGGAGACAAAAGAGGCUUUUGGCAAUGUCGAGCAUCAUUACAAAGAUGCGCUAGCCAUUGUUUACAAGAGUAUGAAAGAUAGGAUUGAUGCCCCACUGCAUUUGACUGCAUAUUUGCUGAAUUCACACUACAGCUAUGCAGAUGAGAGCAUAUUUGAUACCACAAAAAUGGAUUGUGCGGAAUGUGGAGACAUUCUAUACUGGAAAUGA